GAUCGAACGGCGUAGCUACAGGCUUAACACAUGCAAGUCGAGGGGGCAGGCAAGUGUCGGUUGCUUGCAACCGACGAUGGCGACCGGCGCACGGGUGAGUAACGCGUAUCCAACCUACCCUUGUCCAUCGGAUAACCCGUCGAAAGGCGGCCUAACACGAUAUGCGGUUCUCAGCAGGCAUCUAACGAGAACGAAGUGUGAAGGAGAAGGAUGGGGAUGCGUCUGAUUAGCUUGUUGGCGGGGUAACGGCCCACCAAGGCGACGAUCAGUAGGGGUUCUGAGAGGAAGGUCCCCCACAUUGGAACUGAGACACGGUCCAA
rnacentral:rRNA from 1 species